GACGAACGCUGGCGGCGUGCUUAACACAUGCAAGUCGAACGGAAAGGCCCUGCUUUUGUGGGGUGCUCGAGUGGCGAACGGGUGAGUAACACGUGAGUAACCUGCCCUUGACUUUGGGAUAACUUCAGGAAACUGGGGCUAAUACCGGCUAGGAGCUCCUGCUGCAUGGUGGGGGUUGGAACGUUUCGGCGGUUGGGGAUGGACUCGCGGCUUAUCAGCUUGUUGGUGGGGUAGUGGCUUACCAAGGCUUUGACGGGUAGCCGGCCUGAGAGGGUGACCGGCCACAUUGGGACUGAGAUACGACCCAGACUCAUACGGGAGGCAGCAGUGGAGAAUAUGACACAAUGGGCGGAAGCCUGAUGCAGCAACGCCGCGUGCGGGAAGACGGCCUUCGGGUUGUAACCCGCUGUCGCCUGUGACGAAGCGUGAGUGACGGUAAUGGGUAAAGAAGCACCGGCUAACUACGUG
rnacentral:rRNA from 1 species